GCAGAUGUGUGGACAGCUAUGAGCCAAACUUGGGACGUUUGGUUUUUAGCAGGUGGAGAGACCGUCUGGGCAGCAGAAACAAGACAACUAAUCAUAGUCCUCCUGAUCAUUCUGUUCUCCUGGUUGUGAGGAUGUGCAGAGGCUGUAUUUGUCAGUGUUAAAAGACUUGUGCAGCUGUAUCUAGACAUACAAGCAGCCGACAAAGAGUUCUGGAGCAGGACAGACAGGGCAGCACGGUGGCGCAGAGGGUAGCACGUUUGCCUCACAGCAAGAAGGUUGCUGCUUCA